rnacentral:rRNA from 1 species
UACGAAGGGGGCUAGCGUUGUUCGGAAUUACUGGGCGUAAAGGGCGCGUAGGCGGUCCUGAUCGUCGGAUGUGAAAGGCCUGGGCUCAACCUGGGAACUGCAUCCGAUACGGCGGGACUGGAGUGUGGGAGAGGUUGGUGGAAUUCCCAGUGUAGAGGUGAAAUUCGUAGAUAUUGGGAAGAACACCGGUGGCGAAGGUGGCAUCCUGGACCGAUAUUGACGCUGAUGCGCGAAAAGCCAGGGGAGCAAACAGG